rnacentral:rRNA from 1 species
GAUGAACGCUGGCGGCGUGCCUAAUACAUGCAAGUCGAGCGAACAGAUGAGGAGCUUGCUCCUCUGACGUUAGCGGCGGACGGGUGAGUAACACGUGGAUAACCUACCUAUAAGACUGGGAUAACUUCGGGAAACCGGAGCUAAUACCGGAUAAUAUAUUGAACCGCAUGGUUCAAUAGUGAAAGACGGUUUUGCUGUCACUUAUAGAUGGAUCCGCGCCGCAUUAGCUAGUUGGUAAGGUAACGGCUUACCAAGGCAACGAUGCGUAGCCGACCUGAGAGGGUGAUCGGCCACACUGGAACUGAGACACGGUCCAGACUCCUACGGGAGGCAGCAGUAGGGAAUCUUCCGCAAUGGGCGAAAGCCUGACGGAGCAACGCCGCGUGAGUGAUGAAGGUCUUCGGAUCGUAAAACGCUGUUAUUAGGGAAGAACAAUGUGUAAGUAACUAUGCACGUCUUGACGGUACCUAAUCAGAAAGCCACGGCUAACUACGUG